rnacentral:tRNA from 1 species
UGGUAUGUAGCUUAGUGGCAAAGCACUUGCCUACCAAGUGCAAUGUCUUGGGUUCAAUCCCCAGUACCAA